CCUUCAAUAGCUCAGUUGGUAGAGCGGAGGACUGUAGUGGAGGUGCCUGAUGACAUCCUUAGGUUUCUGGUUCAAUUCCAGCUUGAAAGA
rnacentral:tRNA from 1 species